rfam:Picea glauca, whole genome shotgun sequence.
GGGUGCGAUCAUACCAACGUUAAUGCACCGGAUCCCAUCAGAACUACGGAGUUAAGCGCGCUUGGGCUAGAGUAGUACUGGGAUGGGUGACCUCUCGGGAAGUCCUAGUGUUGCACCCU